UACGAAGGGGGCUAGCGUUGCUCGGAAUCACUGGGCGUAAAGCGCACGUAGGCGGCUUCUUAAGUCAGGGGUGAAAUCCUGGAGCUCAACUCCAGAACUGCCUUUGAUACUGGGAGGCUCGAGUCCGGGAGAGGUGAGUGGAACUGCGAGUGUAGAGGUGAAAUUCGUAGAUAUUCGCAAGAGCACCAGUGGCGAAGGCGGCUCACUGGCCCGGUACUGACGCUGAGGUGCGAAAGCGUGGGGAGCAAACAGG
rnacentral:rRNA from 1 species